UGUGUCCAUGUUUUGCUAUGGGAAACCCCAAAUAUGUGGCAGAACAAAAAUUAAAAUAGAAGAUGCACAAUUGCAAUAUGUAAUAUAGAUUCUGUGAAAGUCAUCAAAUAUCACUCAGUGGUAUGAGAGGAAUUAGCGGAUAAGAGAUGGGUACACCAAAGCAUAACAGACAGACGGACAUACCGAUUACUGAAUAUAUCCUCCCGCUUAUCAAGCGGGGGGUAUAAUUAAUUACAUGCAUUCAUGCAUCAAUCUGUGUAAUGAAAAGAUAUUGCUUAAGAUAAUUUACAUUGAUGUUUUGCAUUUUUGUUUGUAAGAAUACAGGUAUUUUAUUUACAUAUUGUUUAAUUAUUUCAAUGUGUUAAAUGAAAAGUAAUUUUCUUUUUUGUUUAUCUAUUGCAGGUUAGAGUACAUUUUGAACAGCCAUCUCCAGGAUAUACUCUGAAGUCAGUGAUGUGCAAGUUCAAGGUUUGACUGUUCAGAAUUACUUUAAUGGUAAAGAAUGGGUGAAAAAAUUCUCACAUCAUGCUGCAUAACAGUACAUUUCAGCUGUAACAAAACAAAUUAUCUGAUGAAAGCUUCAACCACGAGAAUCUAAGGAAAGGAUGUCAAGUCCAAAGAGAAGGCCAUAUAACAAAUGGUUACUGAAUCCAUGAAGACUAGCUGGGAUUUGCAGUACUUUUCUACUCUUAUGAAC